rnacentral:rRNA from 1 species
AUUUUAGUUUGCUUGCAACUGAAGAUGGCGACCGGCGCACGGGUGAGUAACACGUAUCCCAUUUGCCGAUAACUCUGGAAUAGCCUUUCGAAAGAAAGAUCAAUACCGGAUGGCAUACGAAUAUCGCAUGAUAUUUUUAUUAAAGAAUUUCGGUUAUCGAUGGGGAUGCGUUCCAUUAGUUUGUUGGCGGGGUAACAGCCCACCAAGACAACGAUGGAUAGGGGUUCUGAGAGGAAGGUCCCCCACAUUGGAACUGAGACACGGUCCAAACUCCUACGGGAGGCAGCAGUGAGGAAUAUUGGUCAAUGGGCGAGAGCCUGAACCAGCCAAGUAGCGUGAAGGAUGAAGGCUCUAUGGGUCGUAAACUUCUUUUAUAUGGGAAUAAAGUUUUCCACGUGUGGAAUUUUGUAUGUACCAUAUGAAUAAGGAUCGGCUAACUCCGUGCCAGCAGCCGCGGUAAUACGGAGGAUCCGAGCGUUAUCCGGAUUUAUUGGGUUUAAAGGGAGCGUAGGUGGAUUGUUAAGUCAGUUGUGAAAGUUUGCGGCUCAACCGUAAAAUUGCAGUUGAAACUGGCAGUCUUGAGUACAGUAGAGGUGGGCGGAAUUCGUGGUGUAGCGGUGAAAUGCUUAGAUAUCACGAAGAACUCCGAUUG